AUGGACGCGGAGGAGGCGCUGGGCUUCCGGGAGGACGACGCCAUCCGCUUCAUCUUCGGCGAGGACGUGGCCUCCAGGGCGGACGACGACUGCCCCGACUCCGCCGCCAGUGCCUUCGACAGGUCGCUCAUGGAGCUCCGCCUCUUCCAGGAGGUCUUCGCCAGGGCGCCGGGGCACAAGGAGGCCGCCGGGCUCGCGGGGAGGCAUUUCGGGGUGGCGGAGACGUCGCUGCUUCCCGGCGCCCACUUCGCCGCGCAGCGGCCCGCGGAUGCGCCCCGGGCCCAGCCGCGCCUCAACCUCAAGGUCCAGCCGCCUCCGCCGUUCCGCGGCGAGCACAUUGUGUCUGCCCCGGUGCAUGCCGGAGCGGGCCUUAGCCUGGAGGCGCGUCCACAUGCUCACCAGCAGCAGAACAAUGUUACAAUAGAGGGCAAAGUGGAUCUCGGUGUCAGCAAGGGGCAUGCACAUUGUUACGGUGAACAACAUGAGAUUGCUGUCCAGGAGCAUGCACACUGUUACAAUGGCCACCAGGAGGAGCACGCACAUCGUCAUGUCGAGCAGAAUGGGGGGAUCGAUGGGUUGGCUCUCGAGCUGGAUGCCGUGCUGCAGGGCUUCUUGGGGUACUGGCCAGGUGGAGCCACGGCCGGGAGCUGUGACCAGCAGCAAGUGUUUGGUGCAGCUGCUGUCGGUAUCGGUAACACCGUUGACAUGCGCAUGCAAGCGAUGGCUGAAGACAACAACAUUGCUGCUGGGACGUGUGAGGCAGUCGGGUUUGCUGGCAGCAGCAGCACGAGCGGGGUCGAUGAUCCCAUGCCGUCCUACAUGGACGCGCUGGCAGAGUUCUCACAGUUCCAGGCUGACCCUUCUCUUGCUGACCCGUUUUUGUAUCAGUGGCUACAAGAUCAGCAGCCGUUCCCGAGCGAUGCCUCGUGCUUGAGUUAUGAUCAAGGACAAAUCGUUGACAAUGGCCAAGCGCUGUACACAUGUAGCCCGGCUGAUUUAUCUGACAGAGGUGCCAAAGAAUACCCACACUUCAGCAAGCCAGCCUAUGAUGCCGCAGUGCCACCUCGCCUCUCCCAUGAUUAUGUUGGAUCUGGGCAGUUUCUUGAACUUGAGCAACAUCUUGAGAAGGGUACGCCUGAUGCAAAUACUAGUUCGCUAGAUGAUGUUGAUGUUCCUCAGUCCAGCAGUCUACAGUCUAUACCACCUGUUGCUUGUACCAAGAGGACUUUAGGCAGGGAUCUUCCCGAUCAGUUGGAAGCGCAUGCGCAAUGCCUUUUCAAGGAUGCUGGCUGGACCAUCAAGCCACGGAAAAGGAAUGACAGGGCUAAGAUGGCAUCCUAUUUCACAGCACCACACAGGGAAGUGGUCCUCAGCUCACUAACUCAGGCCUGGAAGUUUUGUGGGAACAAAUUAUAUGAAGCUUCUCCCGGUUCACAGAGGGGUAAGCAUCCGAUGGAGUGGUCAGAUGUUGAUAAGUUUUGGAAGGACCUCACUGAUACUAUGGAGUAUAUCCAAAAGGUACUUGUGAACCAACAAAACGCACUCACACUUCUUGAACGGUGGGAGCUUUUGGAUCCUUUCAUUGCCGUCGUGUUCAUCGGUAGGAAAAUUACUGCUCUGCAACAAGGUAGUACUGUCAGAGCUGUUGAUAGUUCAAUCAUUGUUCUCGACGACAACAAGAAUAUGCCCUCAGAGAGUAAAAGGAAACAGAAAGCCAGUGACCCUUUAACCGCCCGCAAGGUUCAGUCUACUCCUGUGAUCAUGGGAUCUGAUUGUGGAGAACGAGUGGUUGAGAGCUGCAGCAGGAGCCAGGCUGUACCAAGCUGUCAUGUUUUGGAAGGUGGCCAGAACAGGGAUAUUAACCUGAAAAAUGGCUACACACAAGGCCAGAACAGGGCAAUUGACCGAAAUGAGAAUCACAUUGAUCAAAGUACUGAAACCCAGCAAUUUUACUCAGGAGCAGCGCUCAUCAAUAAUUCGGUGAAAAAAGCAAGGAAGAAGCCCAAAAUGAUACCGGAUGUUGAUGCAAAUGGAUUAGAUGGGUUGUAUGCUCAAAUAUUUAUGCAGCACACUAUGGGGAAUGUAUUUAACCAAGAGAGCAACGUGGCGAUGCUUGACUUUUCUAAUCCAGGAAACAUUAACGUCUCUGGAAAACAUGGUAUUUAUUCGUCUGUUGGCACAGUGAAGAAGGAUUUGAAAGCUGAAUCCAGACCGGCAAAGCUAAAUCGGAACAGCCAAACCGACAAACCUGGCAUGCUGUUGCCUCCAGAGAGCAAGCAAAUGAGCAUGCUAAUGCGUGAGGGUACUGUUAAAGAACCUUUGGAGCAUACAACCUCAGGACCUGAUUCUGAUGCAAGGGAGUCAGGUGCCAAGGAAACCGCCCCUAUAGAAUGGGUCCAGAAGAAGUUACCUUCAGAGAGCAACCAAAUGAUUAUGUUAAGAGGUGAGGGUACUGUUAAAGACCCUACAGAGCAUACAAUCUCUGAACCUUAUUCUAAUGCAAGGGAGUCAGGUGCCAAUGAGAUCGCCCCUGUAGAAAUGGUCCAGAAGAAGUUGCCUUCAGGGAGCAACCAGAUGAGUAUGUUAAGAGGUGAGGGUAUUGUUAAAGAACCUAUGGUUCAUAUAAUCUCUGAACCUGAUUCUAGUGCAAGGGAGUCAGGUGCCAAUGAAACUGUACCUACAGAAAUGGUCCAGAAGUUGCCUUCAGAGAGCAACCAGAUGAGUAUGUUAAGAGGUGAGGGUACUGUUAAAGAACCUACGGCGCAUACAAUCUCUGAACCUGCUUCUAGUGCAAGGAAGUCAGGUGCCAAGGAAACUGUUCCUAUAGAAAUGGUCCAGAAGAAGUUGCCUUCAGAGAGCAAGCAGAGUAUGUUAAGAGGUGAGGGUACUGCUAUGGAACAUAAACGACUUAAAAGCGCUGAACCUGAUUCGAAUGCAAGGGAGUCAGGUGCCAAUGAGAUCGCCCCUGUAGAAGUGGUCUACCAGAAGUUGCCUUCAGGGAGCAAGAAGAGCAUGUUAAGAGGUGAGGGUACUGUUAAAGAACCUACAGAGCAUACAAUCUCAAAAUCUGAUUUUAAUGCAAGGGAGUUGAGUGCCAAUGGGAUUGUCCCUUCAGAAAUGGUCCACAAGAAGUUGCCGUCAUUGAAGGAAUCAUCUCCUAGAACUCCCCCCAAGGACCCCCCUAAGGUUUCAGUCGACAAUGCUGUUCCUGUUGAGUUAUCCCUUGAGUCUAAUGCUGCUCCCCUGAAAACUGAUUUAUCUCGUGACUCACAAAUCUGCAAGACGAUCGCUGCUAAAAGGAAACCUCAAGGUUGUGAUAAACAUAUCAAGAAAAGACCUCUUGAGUUGCGUAUCCACGACGAUGACCUUUUGAUCACAGCUAUUGUAAAAAACAGGGACGUUGACUCCUACAACAAAUUUGCUGCAAGCUCAGAUUUUUCGGUUGCAAAGUACAAAAAGCUUAAAGGCCAAAAGAGAGCUACCAAACUGCUUGGAAAAGGGGGGACAAACCUAUUGGGUGGGAAGAGAAUAAGUUUGGCACGGAAAACUGUGCUCUGCUGGUUGAUUGCAACUGGCUUUCUGACCGUAAAAGAUGUUAUUCAGUAUCGAAAUCUGAAGAGCAAUGAAGUUGUUAAGGAUGGGCAGGUCACCUGGGAAGGCAUUCUUUGCAAAUGUUGCGCAAAAACCUUAUCUGUAUCAGACUUUAAGGCUCAUGCUGGUUGCUGUCUGCCCAAGUCCUCAUUAGGCCUCUUUCUGCAGUCUGGCAAGUCGUAUACUCUAUGCCAGUUGGAGGCUUGGUCUGCCGAAUUGAUGAGCAGGAGAAGUGAUGCAUGUGGUAGGAAAGUCGAGGCGAUGGAUGAAAAUGACGAUACAUGUGGUUUCUGUGGAGAUGGCGGUGAAUUACUUUGCUGUGACAAUUGCCCAUCAACAUAUCAUGAAGCUUGCUUGUCUGCCCAGGAGCUUCCAGAAGGCAGUUGGUACUGCCAUAAUUGCUCAUGCCGGAAAUGUGGGACUCCAGUUAGUGAAAAUGAGGUUCCGUCAUCCUCAGAUAUCUUGAAAUGUCUGCAGUGUGGAGAUGCAUACCAUGGCACGUGCAUUAAUCAUGAGAUGCUGCCCUGUGAUGAUAAAAGAUCUAACACAUGGUUUUGUGGGAGAUACUGUAAGGAGAUAUUCCUUGGACUACAUAGUCAUGUUGGGAUAGAGAAUAUUAUUGACAAUGGGCUUUCAUGGACCAUAUUGAAGUGCUGCAGUGAUGGUCGGAGGCUACAUUCUGCCCGGAAGAUAGCCCAUAUGACAGAAUGUAAUACAAAAUUGGCAGUGGCUCUUACUUUACUGGAGGAAUGUUUCAUUCGUAUGGUUGAUCCUCGAACUGGUGUAGACAUGAUACCACAUGUGUUGUACAAUAAGGGAUCAAACUUCGCGCGCUUAGAUUAUCAGGGAUUCUACACUGUAAUCCUGGAGAAGGGUGAUGAGAUUCUAUGUGUGGCAUCUAUCAGGUUACAUGGGACCAAAGCAGCCGAGCUGCCUUUCAUUGCUACUUGUGUGGAUUAUCGCCGUAAAGGGAUGUGCCGAAGGCUGCUGGAUAUCAUUGAAAAGAUGCUGAGAUCGUUCCACGUUGAGAUGUUGGUCCUUUCUGCCAUCCCAGAGUUGGUUAAUACAUGGGUCUCGGGAUUUGGUUUCAAACCUAUCAAGGAUGAUGAGAGGAAACAACUUCGUAACGUUAAUUUGAUGUUAUUUCCUGGGACAUCCCUGCUAACCAAAAGAUUGGAUGGAAAUAUAACUACAAAACCAGAAAAGGAAGAAGGCACACAUAAUGUUUCUGGAUUAACUAACGGGAAAUGUUUGCCUGACGGGAAAGCAAAUGAGCAUCUUGAACUCCGUGACCUUGAACUGCCAGAGGAGUUGAAUAAUGAGGUUGCAAUGAAUGGUUCUUUGAGAACACUAAAACGUGAAUUUAGUCCCGCAGCAUGGUUCAAUUCCACUAAGCUAGCUGUUGGUGAAGUGUGA
rnacentral:rRNA from 1 species